CCUACGGGCGGCAGCAGUGAGGAAUAUUGGUCAAUGGACGAGAGUCUGAACCAGCCAAGUAGCGUGAAGGAUGACUGCCCUAUGGGUUGUAAACUUCUUUUAUAUGGGAAUAAAAUGUUCCACGUGUGGGAUUUUGUAUGUACCAUAUGAAUAAGGAUCGGCUAACUCCGUGCCAGCAGCCGCGGUAAUACGGAGGAUCCGAGCGUUAUCCGGAUUUAUUGGGUUAAAAGGGAGCGUAGGUGGAUUGUUAAGUCAGUUGUGAAAGUUUGCGGCUCAACCGUAAAAUUGCAGUUGAAACUGGCAGUCUUGAGUACAGUAGAGGUGGGCGGAAUUCGUGGUGUAGCGGUGAAAUGCUUAGAUAUCACGAAGAACUCCGAUUGCGAAGGCAGUUCACUGGACUGCAACUGACACUGAGGCUCGAAAGUGUGGGUAUCAAACAGGAUUAGAUACCCUUGUAGUC
rnacentral:rRNA from 1 species